UGGGGAAUUUUCCGCAAUGGGCGAACGCCUGACGGAGCAACGCCGCGUGAGGGACGAAGGCCUCUGGGCUGUAAACCUCUUUUCUCAAGGAAGAAGAUAUGACGGUACUUGAGGAAUAAGCCACGGCUAAUUCCGUGCCAGCAGCCGCGGUAAUACGGGAGUGGCAAGCGUUAUCAGGAAUUAUUGGGCGUAAAGCGUCCGCAGGCGGCUUUUCAAGUCUGCUGUUAAAGCGUGGAGCUUAACUCCAUCAUGGCAGUGGAAACUGAAAGGCUUGAGUAUGGUAGGGGCAGAGGGAAUUCCCGGUGUAGCGGUGAAAUGCGUAGAUAUCGGGAAGAACACCAGUGGCGAAGGCGCUCUGCUGGGCCAUUACUGACGCUCAUGGACGAAAGCCAGGGGAGCGAAAGGGAUUAGAUACCCCUGUAGUC
rnacentral:rRNA from 1 species